CUCUAUACACCCAACACCCUAGACCAGAAGGCAUUGUGCUGACUCCCAGAAUGCACUAGAAAGCACUGCCUGCUUCUUCCCUUCCUGCCCUUCCUCACCUCUCCUCUGUUCUCCUCUCCUCUGUUCUCUCCCUUUUUCUCUCCUCCCCUGCCCACCCUAUCCCUCUUCCCUUCCCCUUCCUCUCUCACUCUCCUCUCCCCUGAUUCCAGCCCAUUUAGUAUCUAGGUGACUCUAUCCCAAGCUGCUUCUCCUGGUGCCUUUGUCCCCAUCUCUCCAAGCCACCUUGAUUGUCUCCUCUACCUUACAGGGUCACCCUGCUGGCUGCAGGCUGGAGGGAUUUAUAGCAACCCCCUCCCUCCUUGCCUGCACAGGGCUACCAGACAGCCGGCAGAUAUGUGGGUUGGACACAGUGGGGCCCUGGGAGAGGCAAAUAAAUACAUCAAGUUCCCAGCUGGGUCUGGAGAUAAGGACGCAGGAAGAUGGGGCUGCAGGAUUCACAGCUGCUGCCCUGCACGGGGUCACUCUUCAUAGCCUGAUUCCUCUGGCUUCCCCGGGAAAGUCUAUUUGGGGCACUUUGAAGAGGACACAGAAGAGGACGGCACCUGAGCAAUCUUUUCCUGGGAUGCGCUGCACUGAGGCGCCCUUCCUCAGCUUGGAUUUGGUGGGUGCAGACUUCACAGCGUCUUUCCAGGCUACUAGAGCUGAUUGCCUACAGGCCCAGAGAGGGGGAAGUGCUUGGGAAUCCCAUCCCCAAGGGGCAGCCCUUGGCCAAUGUCUGACUGCUGUGCAUCUGUGGAAGUGAGCUUCUCUGCCUCUCACUGGGACAAACAGGAUUCAUUUUCACUCUGGAGCUUCCUGGGAUCAGUCCAAGGCUGAGACUGUGCCUGAAAUCACACCUUUGCUUAGCUUCUUCCUCUUCCUUUCCUACUUCCCCUUCUCUCUUCUGGUUGUUUUUUGCUUUUGCUUGGGCAGUUUUUUAAACAACCACCUGCACACAAAACAUUGUCUCAGCUCUGCUUCUGGGAAGCCACUUCCAAGAGCAAAUGAAAACAGUCUAUUGAUAGCAAGAGACUGAAGGUCUCCGAGGGGAAAGUCAGUUUUAUUUCAGCCCACUGAGUGCCCUCCCUGUGCUGUUCUGGGCUUUGAUGGGGACAGUGGAGGGGAAGGCCUUGGGCAGUCCCCACACCCCAGGAGCUUUGAGUCUGGGGGAUGGAGGAGGAGGAGGAGACUCUGGGCCCCGCCCUCCCGCAGUCUGCAGGAGACCACAGGAGGUGCGGGGCGGGUUGGGGUUGGGGACAGUUCUCUGAAUGUGUGUUUAUUGUGGCCCUUCUAUGUCCUGUGGUGUCCCCAGGGAAUGGAGGACUGAGGGUUGCAGAGCAGGGAGGGGUGGCAGCCUUGCUCUUCCCCGGUUGAUGUGCCAGGCUCUGAAAUAUUCAGUGAUCAGAUUUUAACCUCAAAUAACAGCGCCCCAACCGCCCCUGAAUCCUGCUAUGGAAAGAACCUUUGGUAAGUGUUUUGAAGCAGGAAGACUCCCUCUGCCCACAGAGGAGUGCACAGCGGUUUGGGGGAGGGGCUAGCUCCUGGGGCCCAAGUGGGCCUCAAGAGAUGAGGUGGGUUGCAGUGUGAUGGGAGGGGAAACACAGAAACUGCCAAGGGCCAUGAGGAAGAGGGGAAACCACAGCCCCCAGACACCCAAGGAGGGUGUCUUCCUGCAGAAAGCCCUAUCAGAUGGCAGCCUGCGGCCCAGAAGCCCCAACUCAACCUGGAAACUGGCUUCUUCUCAGGCCACAGCACCCCAAGGGCCUCAAGACACGUCUAGCCCAUUCCCCUACCAUUACAUGGGUGGAAACCUAGAAGGAGAGAGGGCAAGAGUCGCUUAAGACCACUUAGAGAGUUUGUGAAGCUGGAGUGAGGUUUCAGGUUGUGGAGCUCCAAGCCCAGUGUGGUCUGCCCUGCUUUGCACUGCCCCACGUUUUUCCUAAGACCAAGGUAGAAUUCUUCCUCCCGUUUUCCACCUCGACAGUAAAAGUGCCUCUCUUCUCUGCCAUGGGACUGGGAGACAUGUUCAGGAUGUGAAGUCAUACAGGGACAUCUUUGAGUUCAUAAACAUCUCCUGUUCAUAAAUAUCCGACUAAAGACUGAAGCUUCCACUGCUCCAAAAAUAGCUUUGGAUCCCAGCACAGGCAUUUCCAAGAACAGAUUUUUAUCCUUUCAAGAAUUCCGUGAAAGAGCCGGGUGAAAUGUGUGCCUCUAGGCACAGCUACUUGGGAGGAUGAGGCAGGAGGAUCACUUGAGCCCAGGAUUUGAGGCCAGCUGGACAACACAGUUUGAUCCUCAACCCAAAUAAAGAAAGAAAGAAAUAGUAAAUAUAAAAAUAAUCAAUCCAAGAAUUCUGUGAAAGCAAGGAAUCCUCUGGUUUGUAUGCCUACCAGAGUUUCCUGAACCUGGUCACACACACUGCCCUGACCCUGUGAUCUCAGACUGUGGAUAUAGAUUGGUCUAAACUCCAGAUAAGGAAGUAUCUAGUAUGGUCCAUUAUAAUCCUGGUCAUUCUCAUUUCAAUUCAUUUUAAUACAAUAUUAGGCUACUCUGAACAUGUAAUUCCCCAAUCCUUCUAUUUAAAAGGGACUUCUUGCUUGUAGUGAGCCUUGGGAUUGACUGCUCCAUAGCCAUAUCAGGGCUAGAUGAUUGUUCUGAACCAAUCAAUUUCAACCCCUUCACCAGUGACUGGUUCAGAGAUAAAUAGUCCUAUGCCAAUAGGUGUCAAGAGCCAAGGGAUAGGCUGUGGCUUCAAAAAAGAGAAACCUGUCUUUCUAACCCACUAGUCUGUUAACAUUACGUUUGUGACUGGGCACAGUGGCUUACACCUGUAAUUUUCAGCACUUUGGGAGGCUGAGGUGGAAGGAUCACUUGAGAUCAAGAGUUUGAGACUAGCCUGGCCAACAUGGCGAAACCCCGUCUCUACUAAAAAUACAAAAACUAGCCAGGUGUGGUGGCAUGCACCUGUAAUCCAAGCGACUCGGGAGGCUGAGGCAGGAGAAUAACUUGAACCCAGGAGGUGAAGGUGAGCCAAAAUUGUGCCACCGCACUUCAGCCUGGGUAACAAGAGUAAGACUCCAUCUGAAAAGAAAAAAAAAAAACAAAACACAAUAGGUAUGUUUCCUUGGUGGCUCCGGAAGCCCUCCAGUGACACCAAGGCACCAAGGGACCCAGUCCUUGGGCUGGAAGCCCUAUUAAGGGUGGCAGAGGGGAGAGAUGAAAGAACUUGUGACUGCUGAUGUCAUUGAGUCGCUGAAUCAACAGCUGGGAAGCCAGCCUUUCUUCCUGCUUUGUGAGAUGAUAUACUUAAUACUUUCCAUCCUUGGAGGUGGGUAUCUUGUUAUUUGCCGAUGGAAAUAUUACACAUCAUCUCCAGCCCCCACUCCCCUGCCUCACCCAGCCCUACCUUUACCAGGGC
ensembl:lncRNA